GACGGAGGGUGCAAGCGUUGUUCGGAUUGACUGGGCGUAAAGGGCGUGUAGGCGGUUGGUCAAGUCCGAUGUGAAAGCCCGGGGCUCAGCUUCGGAAGUGCAUCGGAAACUAGCCAGCUGGAGCGCGAUAGAGGAGGGUGGAAUUCCUGGUGUAGCGGUGAAAUGCGUAGAUAUCAGGAGGAACACCGGCGGCGAAGGCGGCCCUCUGGAUCGUUGCUAACGCUGAGACGCGAAAGCGUGGGGAGCAAACAGG
rnacentral:rRNA from 1 species